UACGGGGGGGGCAAGCGUUGUUCGGAAUUACUGGGCGUAAAGGGCUCGUAGGUGGCCAACUAAGUCAGACGUGAAAUCCCCAGGCUUAACCUGGGAACUGCGUGUGAUACUGGAUGGCUUGAAUUCGGGAGAGGGAUGCAGAAUUCCAGGUGUAGCGGUGAAAUGCGUAGAGAUCGGGAGGAACAUCCGUGGCGAAGGCGACUACCUGGACCAGCACUGACACUGAGGCACGAAAGCGUGGGGAGCAAACAGG
rnacentral:rRNA from 1 species